rnacentral:rRNA from 1 species
UACGUAGGGAGCAAGCGUUGUCCGGAAUCAUUGGGCGUAAAGCGCGCGUAGGUGGCCUCGUAAGUCCGCUGUGAAAGUCAAAGGCUCAACCUUUGAAAGCCGGUGGAUACUGUGAGGCUAGAGUACGGAAGAGGCGAGUGGAAUUCCUGGUGUAGCGGUGGAAUGCGCAGAUAUUGGGAAGAACACCCGUGGCGAAGGCGGCUCUCUGGAACGCAACUGACGCUGAGACGCGAAAGCGUGGGGAGCAAACAGG